rnacentral:lncRNA from 1 species
CCUAAACCAAGCUUAAACCUAAGUCCUAAUUAACUACCAUAUGUCGUCUUCUUCAUCUUGUUCGCCGCCGCACACCACCAUGGCACCACCUACGUGGUCUUCUUCAUCUUCCAGUCCUCACCAGCCCCACCACCACCUUCGUCGUUGUCUCUUCUAUGCUCUUCACAUCCGCCUUGAUUCUUCUUCUUCACUGUGGGAUUUGAGAGUCAAGCUUCAAAGAUGACGCGUACUCGUCGUUGCAUCCAGCCACCUUCAUAGUCGCUCGCCGUCUUCGUGGUCUUCUUCUCCACGGAGCUUGCUCGCCGUCUUCCUGGUCUUCUUCUCCACGGAGCUUGAGAGGAAGCGUACAGAGUUUCCAUGGCUAUUGAACAGAGGCGUCGAUCCUCCUCUCCAAUAUUUUUCUUCACUUCUUGGACCCAAACUCAAAUAAAAAUCAGAUCUACUUUGUUGUUUCAGUGAAUGUACAGAGACAAAUUAAAAAUCGUAGAAGAAGAAGAAGAGGAAGAAGAAGAAGAAUGAGAACGUAGAAGAAAAGGAUAAAAGAAUAGUAGAUCUCAGAGCUAUUGG